rnacentral:lncRNA from 8 species
AAAUGUAGUAAUUAAUAAAUUGGCAAAAUAUCUUUAAAUUAAUAAUUCUGUGAACUGUCUUGUGCAAUUUUUUAAUUGACACAAUACCUGUUAGCAGAGGUGUCAGCUAGAGAUAACCUGCAGAAGCUUGCAGGGAUUUGCUAGGGACUCUUUUGGAAGAAGCUAGCUAGCUAACGAAGAACAACAAAGAAUAUCUAGUUAACAGAAGAAAAGAAAGAGAAAAUCAGGACAGAAGAAAAAGGAUAUCAAAGUGAAACAGUUCUCUAAAGACACAGGAGACAAUAAUACAAGAAACAACACUUCUGUAGCUUGUCAACUAUGUCUCUGUCUAUCCCUGUUCUCUCCUCUCUGCACAGGCCAUACAAACGCUUCACACCGCGUGGCCGCUGCCACUCCAACCUGGUGGUCCCAGCGCGCACGACCCACGUGGAGUUCCAGGUCCCCGGCAGCCUCUGGAACUGCCAGUCUGCAGCCAACAAGGCUGAGUUCAUCUCAGCCUAUGCUACCCUCCAGUCCCUAGACUUCCUGGCGCUGACGGAAACAUGGAUUACCACAGAUAACACUGCUACUCCUACUGCUCUCUCGUCGUCGGCCCACGUGUUCUCGCAUACCCCUAGAGCAUCGAGCCAGCGGGGUGGUGGCACUGGAAUCCUCAUCUCUCCCAAGUGGACAUUCUCUCUUUCUCCCCUGACCCAUCUGUCUAUCUCCUCAUUUGAAUUCCAUGCUGUCACAGUUACCAGCCCUUUCAAGCUUAACAUCCUUAUCAUUUAUCGCCCUCCAGGUUCCCUUGGAGAGUUCAUCAAUGAGCUUGACGCCUUGAUAAGUUCCUUUCCUGAGGAUGGCUCACCUCUCACAGUUCUGGGUGACUUUAACCUCCCCACGUCUAACUUUGACUCAUUCCUCUCUGCCUCCUUCUUUCCACUCCUCUCCUCUUUUGACCUCACCCUCUCACCUUCCCCCCCUACUCACAAGGCAGGCAAUACGCUUGACCUCAUCUUUACUAGAUGCUGUUCUUCCACUAAUCUCAUUGCAACUCCCCUCCAAAUCUCCGACCACUACCUUGUAUCCUUUUCCCUCUUGCUCUCAUCCAACACUUCUCACUCUGCCCCUACUCGGAUGGUAUUGCGCCGUCCCAACCUUCGCUCUCUCUCUCCCGCUACUCUCUCCUCUUCCAUCCUAUCAUCUCUUCCCUCUGCUCAAACCUUCUCCAACCUAUCUCCUGAUUCUGCCUCCUCAACCCUCCUCUCCUCCCUUUCUGCAUCCUUUGAUUUUCUCUGUCCCCUAUCCUCCAGGCCGGCUCGGUCCUCCCCUCCUGCUCCGUGGCUCGACGAUUCACUACGAGCUCACAGAACAGGGCUCCGGGCAGCCGAGCGGAAAUGGAGGAAAACUCGCCUCCCUGCGGACCUGGCAUCCUUUCACUCACUCCUCUCUACAUUCUCCUCUUCUGUCUCUGCUGCUAAAGCCACUUUCUACCACUCUAAAUUCCAAGCAUCUGCCUCUAACCCUGGNNNNNNNNNNNNNNNNNNNNNNNNNNNNNNNNNNNNNNNNNNNNNNNNNNNNNN